rnacentral:misc_RNA from 1 species
UCCAGGUUAUCCCUGGCGGUCUCCUGCGAGUUCCAUAAAUGGCAACACAGGACAAGGGUUGCGCUCGUUGCGGGACUUAACCCAACAUCUCACGACACGAGCUGACGACAGCCAUGCAGCACCUAUACUUCAGUUUCUUGCGAAAAGUCCCUGUUUCCAGGGAUGGUCCAAAGCAUUUCGAGCCUAGGUAAGGUUCUUCGCGUUGCGUCGAAUUGAACCACAUGCUCCACCGCUUGUGCGGGCCCCCGUCAAUUCCUUUGAGUUUCAGCCUUGCGACUGUACUCCCCAGGCGGCAUAUUUAACGCGUUAGCUCCGGCACGGACCAAAUGAAUGGCCCACACCAAAUAUGCAUCGUUUAGGGCGUGGACUAC